UGACUUUCUAAGGGAAAUUUUGUAGUUCGU
rnacentral:piRNA from 1 species